rnacentral:tRNA from 1 species
GCUUGGAUAGCUUCGUUGGUUAGAGCACGGUGCUAAUAAUGCCAAGGUUGCAGGUACAAUUCCUGUAUAGGACA